UACGUAGGGCGCAAGCGUUGUCCGGAAUUAUUGGGCGUAAAGAGCUCGUAGGCGGUCUGUUACGUCCGCUGUGAAAACCCAGGGCUUAACCCUGGGCUUGCAGUGGAUACGGGUAGACUAGAGGCAGGUAGGGGAGAAUGGAAUUCCCGGUGUAGCGGUGAAAUGCGCAGAUAUCAGGAGGAACACCGGUGGCGAAGGCGGAUCUCUGGGCCAUUACUGACGCUGAGGAGCGAAAGCGUGGGGAGCGAACAGGAUUAGAACCGUACGUACGAGAUCCAAGUCCAGUC
rnacentral:rRNA from 1 species